rnacentral:rRNA from 1 species
CGGUUAAGUUAGAAAGGGCGCACGGUGGAUGCCUUGGCACUAGGAGCCGAUGAAGGACGGGACGAACACCGAUAUGCUUCGGGGAGCUGUAAGCAAGCUUUGAUCCGGAGAUUUCCGAAUGGGGAAACCCACCACUCGUAAUGGAGUGGUAUCCAUAUCUGAAUA